UACGUAGGGUGCAAGCGUUAUCCGGAAUUAUUGGGCGUAAAGAGCUCGUAGGCGGUUUGUCGCGUCUGCUGUGAAAACUGGAGGCUCAACCUCCAGCCUGCAGUGGGUACGGGCAGACUAGAGUGCGGUAGGGGGGAUUGGAAUUCCUGGUGUAGCGGUGGAAUGCGCAGAUAUCAGGAGGAACACCGAUGGCGAAGGCAGAUCUCUGGGCCGUAACUGACGCUGAGGAGCGAAAGCAUGGGGAACGAACAGG
rnacentral:rRNA from 1 species